GCCCAUUUAGAGCAGUGGUUAGCUCGCUCGUCUCCGGUAUAGACGCGGACAACGAGAAGGCAGGGGUUCGAAUCCCCUAAUGGGUG